AUCCAGAUGGCCGAGCCCUAGGCACCGAGCUUUUAACUCGAUCACAGUAUAGUACUUCAGGAUA
rnacentral:tRNA from 1 species